AUACAAAAUUUAAAUCAAUUAGUCUACACGUCACUUAAAGCUUAUUCAAUUUAUUUGGUAUUUUUUAUUGGUCGGUAUUUUGUUACGCACAUACGUGUAUACAUGAACGUUUAUCACCUCAAGUGACAAAUAUUUUUGCUAUAGAUGACUUUCGUGAACACUUAGCCCAGCAAUGUUUGAGGGUAUGUCAAGGAUGGGCUCCAUCAAAGAGAAAGUACACAUGUUCUACAUCUUUUUUUCGGAAAAGAUAAAGACACAAGUCUGCAGUUGUGAAUAAUGUUUAUAGUUCUGAUACUGAAACAGUCAAUCAUUCCCAAUUUUGAUUUCGUCGAUAUCGUUCUGAUACUCACCUCUCACACCGCCAACUACAAAUUGGUUUCCCGUCAAAGGUGUUACCAUUGCUGAUGGCUCAUCGCACUGCAAUCAAUU
rnacentral:misc_RNA from 1 species